AACGCGAAGAACCUUACCUAAGCUUGACAUCCUUUUGACCGAUGCCUAAUCGCAUCUUUCCCUUCGGGGACAGAAGUGACAGGUGGUGCAUGGUUGUCGUCAGCUCGUGUCGUGAGAUGUUGGGUUAAGUCCCGCAACGAGCGCAACCCUUGCCUUUAGUUGCCAGCAUUAAGUUGGGCACUCUAGAGGGACUGCCAGGGAUAACCUGGAGGAAGGUGGGGAUGACGUCAGAUCAUCAUGCCCCUUAUGCUUAGGGCUACACACGUGCUACAAUGGGUGGUACAGAGGGCAGCCAAGUCGUGAGGCCGAGCUAAUCCCUUAAAGCCAUUCUCAGUUCGGAUUGUAGGCUGAAACUCGCCUACAUGAAGCUGGAGUUACUAGUAAUCGCAGAUCAGAAUGCUGCGGUGAAUGCGUUCCCGGGUCUUGUACACACCG
rnacentral:rRNA from 1 species